GCAGAUCCGUUCAGUACAAGAGGGGCAUAUAGUCAGGGUAGCUGUCGACGUGGAGGGAAACUGCAAAAGAAACGGCGCCGCCGUCAAUUUCACUGCUUUUAGCUCUUCUACUUCCCUUUGUAGCCUUUUAUUUUCUUCUGAUUAAGAGUGUUAUGCUCUUUGAAGCUGUCUUCCAAUAGAGCAGAUUGUUGUUUAGUGAGCCUGAGUUUCUUCCGGGGACUAGCCUGAUCUUCAUCUAAUAAUUCAUCAUUAGUACUAACCCUGGAACCUGAGAAUCUCUCCAACUCUACUUCUACCUCAAACUCAUCGCCACCACUACCACGGCUGCCGCCUCUGCCUCGGCUUCCACCGAGUUCUGAUCUCUCUCUCUUCAAAGUUGUAGUGGAGGAGUUAGAUAACGAUGAGACUGUGGCAAGAGAAUAAUUGGCUCCAGGUCGUACUCCAUGCAAAUCAUGAUCAUGUACUUGAUCAACCGCAGUAUGAUGAUGAUGAUCACCAUAUUGAUGAUCUGAUGAUGAUGAUGAUGAUGUGCCAAGUGUAAGAGAUGGCAAUAUAUGGUCAUAUCUCAAACAGAUUAGCUUCUUGAUCUUGAUAUUAUUAAUUUCGUGAUCAUCUUCCUUGUGGUAUUGGGAAUUUCCUAAGCCGAGAUCAAGGCCAGUGUUGAAAAUAGCUCCAUUAUUAGAGCCCAUGUUUCUAAAAACUUAUAGCUAGAUGGACGAGGUAGGUGUAUAUAUAUAGCACUUAAUUGUAUGGAAGCAUACAAUAUAUAAAUAUAUAUAUAUACAUAUAUAUAAUUCUAGUGGAGGAGGAGAGUGUGAAGCGGAUAUUAUUAAUCUUGUUAGGGAUAUGGUGGGAUGUGGGGUAGUACUUAAUAUUGUAUGCAAUAAUUAUUAGAUAAUCAGAGAAGAAAAGUGAGUAAAUAGUAAUGAGAGAGAACGAAUCAGGCGUUGUUAUUUAUCAAUUAUUUUAUAUAUAUAUAAAAAAAAGGUUCCCAUGUC